UUGACCUCGAAUCAGGUAGGGAUACCCGCUGAACUUAAGCAUAUCAAUAAGCGGAGGAAAAGAAACCAACCGGGAUUAC
rnacentral:rRNA from 1 species